rnacentral:rRNA from 1 species
GACUCUCGGCAACGGAUAUCUCGGCUCUCGCAUCGAUGAAGAACGUAGCGAAAUGCGAUACUUGGUGUGAAUUGCAGAAUCCCGUGAACCAUCGAGUCUUUGAACGCAAGUUGCGCCCGAGGCCGCYCGGCCGAGGGCACGCCUGCCUGGGCGUCA